rnacentral:rRNA from 1 species
UACGAAGGGGGCUAGCGUUGCUCGGAAUCACUGGGCGUAAAGCGCACGUAGGCGGAUUGCUAAGUCAGGGGUGAAAUCCUGGAGCUCAACUCCAGAACUGCCUUUGAUACUGAGUAUCUUGAGUUGACGGGAGAGGUGAGUGAACUGCGAGUGUAGAGGUGAAAUUCGUAGAUAUUCGCAAGAACACCAGUGGCGAAGGCGGCUCAC